rnacentral:pre_miRNA from 1 species
UAUUAGGUUGGUGCAAAAGUAAUCGCGGUUUCUGUCAUUGAAAGUAAUGGCAAAAACUGCAAUUACUUUUGCACCAACCUAAAA